GGUCAGUUGACACAUCCCUGCCAAUCUCCGGCAGACCCUCCCUCCCAGACCCUCCUACUUCCUGGACAGCAUCCAUGUUGAAGGCAGCUUCAACAUGGAUGCUGUCCAGGAGGUGGGAGGGUCUAGGAGGGAGGGUCUGCCGGAGAUUGGCAGGGAUGUGUCAACUG